CCAAGCACCUGACUUCUCUGGACCAACAUGGUAACAACUCUCCCUCCCUGGCUAGUUCUGGCCCUGGGUUUGAACCAACUUAGUCCUUCAUUCAGUGCUUCUGGCCUGAGCUCUCCUAACCCCCAAAGGUCAACAAUACAAGGUCAAGCAAGUUUCACUAAAUAAUCCUGGAAGAACAGGACUGCUUCUCUGGACAUUGUAUCCACCUCCUACUCUUCUGGUGUGCAGGGCCCAGGCAGCUAAUGAAAUCCUAUAGGCCAUGUUAAGGUCAGUGUGAGGAUAGAUUGACCUGGAGUCAGGUGAUCUCCCCAUGGCCCAAUCACCAUUUGUCCCCAUGCAAAGGCCAGCAAGGGCUUUGUCUCAGAAGAGGCUACUGUGGGCCAAGAGUUUCAGCUACGCAAGAAUUUGGAGCACAGCAGACCCCGGACAGCACAUCUACACCUGCCUUUCUACCUUCUCAGCACCAAGCUAAUGGAUCCUAAUCACAAACACUGCUGCACAGAACUUCUCUCUCCCAGCGAGGAGACAACCAAAGACUCACGUCCAAUAGGCAGAGUGUGCAGCGGCCAUGUGGGGCGGCCCCUUACAAAGUGGUUUCUCAGCAUGAAGGCCACAAUCUGCUGCUGAUACUCAUUCCUUUCAUGUUCCCUCUGCAACCUUUUCUAGGGGUUAUUCCUUAUCCUUCUGCAAACAAAGGGCAAAUGGUGAAUGUAACAAUCACCAACACACCUAGUAAAUAUGAAGGAAAAACAGAGCAUUCUUAGGCUAGCAAUAACUAAAUUAAUAACAUCUACCAUUUAAAAAGAAAAUGGAGGGGGAUAUGGUAUAAUUAUCCAAUUUUCAGAUAUUUUAACAAGGAGGGGAAAAUAAACCUGAAAAAAAUGAGAGAUACCAUGCCCUUAAUUCUAGAGUUAGUUCCAAGGCUGUAACUAACAUUAGUGGCUCUUCUCCUCCCUCCUUCCAUAUUACCUUUGAUUUUUGCUCAAUGGAGUUGAAUCUAACUUUUGCUAUCAGGAAGUCUUUGGCUGCAAAUAAUAGAAAAUCCAACGAAUAGUGGCUUAAAUAAACAGGGAUUUGUUUUUCUCAUAUAACAAGAUGUAGAAAGCAAUUUCUGAUGUUGGUCUAGCAAUGAUGUCAGGAAUCCAGGGGACCUAAGUCCAUUCCACUCUCACCCUCUCCCUCCUGAUCACAAGAUGCCACCGUGGGCGUCCUGGCCGUGUGCAAGGCAGGAGGACUAGAGAGGAAUAGACACCGGCUGCGUCUUGACUUUUAAUCAGCAAAGCCAAAGCUUUUCUAGGAGCGUCCAGCAGGCUGCUCCUUCUGUCUUCUUGGCCAGAACCCCAUCACAUGACCACUCCUAGCUAUGUUGGAGGCUGUGAAACCAAAUAUCUAGCAAAAAAAAGAGAGAGAAAUGUCAUAACGGACUUAGACCAAAUGUGAUUCUUUGGUCAUGGCAGAUUACCUUCCUCCAAACAACACAAGCAAGGAAGAGGUGAGGAAAUGACUGUGUACUUGGUGCACCUGCCUACACGAGAGCCAUAGUUUUCUGCUACCUUUUAUAGUUCCCUAUGUCCUACUUUAUAGUAGCAACUUCCUGGAUAAUCAACACCAAUCUGUUUGGCCAAUGUCCUGUACCCCCUAACAUUUAUCUAACCACCUGGUGGCAGAUCUGGUUCCACGGGGCUUACAUCAUGGUCCUCGUUGGAAGUAUUUCUCUACUGGGUCGUGAAACUUCCAGACCAGUAGAGUCUAGCUGCAGUGGUAAAAAUGCAUCAUCAAGCAGAGGCAUGAGUAGAUUCCCACCUCCACCUGGAGACUCUCAGCUUUUUAAAUUUUCUGGUUGUAGGAGGAGAUAGAAGCAUAUAAAAGAACUUAAAAUUAUUAAUGAAUUCAUAGUUCCUUUAUCUCUUUAUAUCUUUUCUCAACCAGUCAUUACCAAACAAGAGUGAUAUGAGUGUCUGUGAAAUGGUUUUGACUUUCAAAACCCUUUCAAAAGGGUUCUCCAUUCUUGAAGGAAGACAGAGACCCACUGGUCCAGUGGGAAGAUGUCCAGGAGUUAGAAGUUUUUUGUGUUCAGGCUGGCUCUGCAGCUACCUAACCAGCUGGGCACCUUCGGAGAGAUCAUCUCCUCUGUCAGGACCUCAGCGACAUGCUCUGGAAGAUCAGCAGGAUGGACUAGAUGAUCACAAAGGCCCUUUCCAGCUUGCUAUAUUUUCUAAUUUAUUAGGAUUAGGAUUAAUUUAUUAGGAUUAUUAAUUUAUUAGGAUAUUCAUUAGAAUUAUAAAUUAGGAUCUAUUAACUUAUCUUGCAAUUUUGAAAUCUUAUGAUCCUAUUACUCUCAGGGUUGAACUUUCUUUGCUGUUCUUAGUUUGCCUCCGUUUCAAAAGAUAGACAUCCUCUCAUUUACCCUAAAGGGAAUGGGCUUUCUAGGUUAACUAGAAUAUACUGCAGUGGCAUGUAAGAAGACACCCGGUGGUGAUUGGUCAUACCAUAUUAUUCACAACUUCUAUUUUCAACAAUAAGAAAAAAAGGAAGGAAGGAAGGAGUUUGGUACAAAAGUCUUAAAUCUCCCCUAAGAAAAAUAAAGCAAAUUGAAACUGUCUGGAUUUUAUUGGGGUCUUUCACCUUCUAGACUCAUUGGCAAUGCAUCAAAAGUAACACAAGGUUCUAAGAGAAUUCAUUAAUGCCGAAGUUCAUUUAGUCACAUUUGGUGCAAAAAUGACGGUGU